AUGCGCCAUGUUAAUUAUUGCGAGGCGCCAAAGCUGAUGGACCCAAACAUACGGAGAUAUUUACGGGACAACAGCAGCGCACAGAUUCAGAUUCCAUCUCGAAUAUUAUGGGGGAGCAAUCCGAAAAUGGAGAAGCAGCCAAUUACCGUGCAGCAGACACGAUGGCUUGGUCGGCAGGGCGCCAGGUGGCACCAGGAUAGGGUGCUCUCGCUCGCCACGUCGGCCAUGGCGCACAACAAAACCCUCGAAGGAGAUAGACGGAGAGGGAGCAGAGCAAUGGAGGCCGACAUGGACGCGAGCUUGGACUUCUUGGAGCUGGAGGCCCAUCUGGUGUUCGAUCUCGGCAACGCCGAUAGCAAACGUUGGAUGAGCCUGGCGGAUUGCUGCAGCUCGUACCUGCCGGCCGAGGACUCGCUCUCCGGCCUCGACUCCUCCGGCUACAACGACUCCACCAGCUCGCCGGACGGCGCCACCAGCUCGCGGUCCACGGCGUCGACGAGGGCCACUAGGGCGAGCAAGAACAUCGUCGAGGAGAGGGUCCGGCGCAGGCGGCUCAACGAGAAGCUCUACGCCAUCCGCGGCGUCGUCCCAAACAUCACCAAGAUGGACAAGGCGUCCAUCAUCCAGGACGCCGUCGCAUACAUCGAGGAGCUGCAGGAGCAGGAGCGCCGGAUCCUCGCCGAGGUGUCCGACCUCGAGGCCGGCGGCUGCACCGCCGUGGUCAAGUCGGCGGCCUCGACCGGUAGCGAGGGGGUGGAGGACGCCGGCGUUGGCUUCUCGCCGCGGAAGAAGAUGAGGAGGACUGCCUCCUCCUCCUCCUCCAUCAAUGACGUCGUCACUUCUCCUGCCACGCAUCCGGUCCUCCUUGAGCUGGAAGUGAUACCCAUAGCGGAGAAGCUGGCGGUGGUGAGCAUGAGGCACGACAAUGCGCAGCAUGUCAUGGCGAAGAUAUACAAGGCGCUCGAUUCGCUCCGUCUCAAGGUCAUCAACUCAAGUGUCACCGUCGUGGACGGCCGCACAGUCCACACUAUGUUCAUCGAGACGGAAGAAACGGAUAGUGUUGAGACGAUCAAGGAGAUGGUACAGGCUACACUCAGCCAUCUCGAAUUCUCGAUGUGA
rnacentral:rRNA from 1 species